rnacentral:piRNA from 1 species
UUUUCUCUAUUUUGAAUACAA